AAUAAAGUGCCUGAUAAAAGGAUUAUUUUGAUAGAAUAAAUUAUAUAAUUAUAAAUUAUCUUUAUUA
rnacentral:tRNA from 1 species